rnacentral:rRNA from 1 species
AGAGUUUGAUCCUGGCUCAGGAUUAACGCUGGCGGCGUGCCUAAUACAUGCAAGUCGAACGGAAGUACCUUCGGGUACUUUAGUGGCGAACGGGUGAGUAAUACAUAGGUAACCUACCCUUAAGACGAGGAUAGCCAUUGGAAACGAUGGAUAAAACUGGAUAGGAUAUAGAGGAAGAAUCUUUUAUAUUUAAAAGAGAGAUCUGCUUAAGGAGGGGCCUGUGGCGCAUUAGCUAGUUGGUGGGGUAAGGGCCUACCAAGGCGAUGAUGCGUAGCCGGACUGAGAGGUUGAACGGCCACAAUGGAACUGAGAACGGUCCAUACUCCUACGGGAGGCAGCAGUAGGGAAUUUUCGGCAAUGGGGGGAACCCUGACCGAGCAACGCCGCGUGGACGAAGAAGUUAUUCGUAAUGUAAAGUUCUUUUAUCAGGGAAGAAAGAGGAAUUUGACGGUACCUGAGGAAUAAGCUCCGGCUAACUACGUG